UCCCGACGCUCCAAGUCGCAGCCACAAUUAUUGGGUCUAAAACAUUCGUAGCUUGUUUUGUAAGUUCUUUGUGAAAUCAGACAUCUUAAGUGUCUGGCGUGCAAAGAAUACUGCAAGACUUGAGACCGGAAGAAGCAAGAAGUACAAUUGAGGUAGUAGUAAAAUAUGUUAAUCUCGAUUGGACUAACAACAGCGAAGGCAUCUUGCUAGUACGGAUCUGACAGUGAGGAAUGAAGGCUAGGGUCGCGAAAGG
rnacentral:rRNA from 1 species